rnacentral:rRNA from 1 species
UACGGAGGGGGCGAGCGUUAUUCGGAAUUAUUGGGCGUAAAGGGUAGGUAGGUGGUCUCAUUUGUCUGGGGUGAAAGCCUUGAGCUUAACUCAAGAAGUGCCCCAGAAACGGUGAGACUGGAGUCCUGGAGAGGGUCGUGGAAUUCCCGGUGUAGCGGUGAAAUGCGUAGAGAUCGGGAGGAACACCAGAGGCGAAAGCGGCGACCUGGACAGGCACUGACACUCAACUACGAAAGCGUGGGGAGCAAACAGG